rnacentral:rRNA from 1 species
UACAGAGGGCCCAAGCGUUGUUCGGAUUCAUUGGGCGUAAAGGGUGCGUAGGUGGCGUCGUAAGUCGGGUGUGAAAUCUCGGGGCUUAACUCCGAAACUGCAUUCGAUACUGCGGUGCUUGAGGACUGGAGAGGAGACUGGAAUUUACGGUGUAGCAGUGAAAUGCGUAGAGAUCGUAAGGAAGACCAGUGGCGAAGGCGGGUCUCUGGACAGUUCCUGACACUGAGGCACGAAGGCCAGGGGAGCAAACGGG